rnacentral:rRNA from 1 species
AGUGGCGAACGGGUGAGUAACACGUUGGUGACCUGCCCCAGAGAGGGGGACAACCACUGGAAACGGUGGCUAAUACCCCAGAUGUUAUUGUGUUUAGAAAGCAAUGACUAAAGCUCCGGCGCUCUGGGAGGGGCCUGCGGACCAUCAGCUAGUUGGUAAGGUAAUGGCUUACCAAGGCAAAGACGGAUAGGGGGCGUGAGAGCGUGGCCCCCCACACUGGUACUGAGACACGGACCAGAUACCUGCGGGUAGCAGCAGCAAGGAAUAUUGCCCAAUGGACGAAAGUCUGAGGCAGCAACGCCGCGUGGAGGAUGAAGGCCUUCGGGUCGUAAACUCCUUUUCUGGGGGAAGAGAAAGGACGGUACCCCAGGAAUAAGUCUCGGCUAACUACGUGCCAGCAGCCGCGGUAAAACGUAGGAGGCGAGCGUUAUCCGGAUUUAUUGGGCGUAAAGCGCAUGUAGGCGGUUUUCUAAGUCGGACGUGAAAGCUCCUGGCUCAACUGGGAGAGGUCGUUCGAAACUAGGAAACUUGAGGGUGGUAGAGGAGAGUGGAAUUCCCGGUGUAGUGGUGAAAUGCGUAGAUAUCGGGAGGAACACCAGUGGCGAAGGCGGCUCUCUGGGCCAACCCUGACGCUCAGAUGCGAAAGCUAGGGGAGAGAACGGGAUUAGAAACCC